AGAACGAACGCUGGCGGCAUGCCUAAUACAUGCAAGUCGAACGAACUCUUCGGAGUUAGUGGCGCACGGGUGCGUAACGCGUGGGAAUCUGCCCCUUGGUUCGGAAUAACAGUUGGAAACGACUGCUAAUACCGGAUGAUGACGAAAGUCCAAAGAUUUAUCGCCAAGGGAUGAGCCCGCGUAGGAUUAGCUAGUUGGUGAGGUAAAGGCUCACCAAGGCAACGAUCCUUAGCUGGUCUGAGAGGAUGAUCAGCCACACUGGGACUGAGACACGGCCCAGACCUCCUACGGGAGGCAGCAGUAGGGAAUAUUGGACAAGUGGGACGAAAGCCUAGAUCCAGCAAUGACCGCGUGAGUGAGUGAAGGCCGUUAGGGUUAGUAAGCUUACUUUACCCGAGUA
rnacentral:rRNA from 1 species